UCGAGCGAGCUGCCUUGAAGAUCGGAGUGCUUGCACUCUGUGAAACAAGAUACAGGCUAGCGGCGGACGGGUGAGUAACACGUGGGUAACCUGCCCAAGAGAUCGGGAUAACACCUGGAAACAGAUGCUAAUACCGGAUAACAACAGAUGAUGCCUAUCAACUGUUUAAAAGAUGGUUCUGCUAUCACUCUUGGAUGGACCUGCGGUGCAUUAGCUAGUUGGUAGGGUAACGGCCUACCAAGGCGAUGAUGCAUAGCCGAGUUGAGAGACUGAUCGGCCACAUUGGGACUGAGACACGGCCCAAACUCCUACGGGAGGCAGCAGUAGGGAAUCUUCCACAAUGGACGCAAGUCUGAUGGAGCAACGCCGCGUGAGUGAAGAAGGGCUUCGGCUCGUAAAGCUCUGUUGUUGGUGAAGAAGGACAGGGGUAGUAACUGACCUUUGUUUGACGGUAAUCAAUUAGAAAGUCACGGCUGACUACGUGCCAGCAGCCGCGGUAAUACGUAGGUGGCAAGCGUUGUCCGGAUUUAUUGGGCGUAAAGCGAGUGCAGGCGGCUCGAUAAGUCUGAUGUGAAAGCCUUCGGCUCAACCGGAGAAUUGCAUCAGAAACUGUCGAGCUUGAGUACAGAAGAGGAGAGUGGAACUCCAUGUGUAGCGGUGAAAUGCGUAGAUAUAUGGAAGAACACCGGUGGCGAAGGCGGCUCUCUGGUCUGUUACUGACGCUGAGGCUCGAAAGCAUGGGUAGCGAACAGGAUUAGAUACCCUGGUAGUCCAUGCCGUAAACGAUGAGUGCUAGUGUUGGGAGGUUUCCGCCUCUCAGUG
rnacentral:rRNA from 1 species